GCCCCUUAGCUCAGUGGUUAGAGCGCACGACUCAUAAUCGUUCGGUCCCCAGUUCUUAUUGGGGGGUA
rnacentral:tRNA from 3 species